rnacentral:lncRNA from 1 species
GGGGGGGGGGGGGGGGGAGGUAAAAUACUCCCUAACAAAAGCGAUUCCAUAUCUAGGAUUCGAACACGAGACCGCCAGUUAAGAAUAUAGGAGUACUUAUCACUUCAUCACAACCCUUGUUGGUAAUGCCAAACUCUAGUUUAGUGUCGCUUCCCGUUUUAUCUGCAAACCGGGCUUCAACAUUUGACAGCUCUUUUAAAUGAGUAUUAAAGGAGAAGAGUUUCCACCUAACAAUUGUUAAGUCGCGUUAGGGCACCUAUUUGCAAAUGACUCUGAUUUAACUAGUCUACAUCACGAACGAUCGGGUAACGGCUCAAAUUACCUAGAAGAGAAGGUGUUAGGCACUCUUCGAGCUCCACGACCGUGGAUCCCUGCCGAAGUUCAUAAUAUGUGGAUUAUGAACAAGUGCAAAGAAAAUCAGACAACAAUUAAUUUAUAUAGAUAAUAAGUACAAGUCUUUAGAUGUCACAUGGUACAACUUAAUUGUUCUAAAUUCAACGAUUAAGUGUGAACAAUAAUCAUAUAAAGGAGGGGGUCCUAAGUUUUUUAUCCUAAAGAAUUAUCCCGUGCAACAUAAAUAAUACUACGAAAUUUCUUUAGAGUAGGGGUUGCCCAUAUUAUUCAGCGGGCACAGACUAUCAUCUCCUACUAUCCGGUCACUAUGUUAAAGUUGUUUACCUAAAGUGUUCUAAUUCAAUUCUAAACCGUAUCUUAUGCAUGUACUACACAUCCCAUACCUAUGGCCCAGGAGGCUUUGGACCUAUGAUUUGGAUGGUUCUCUACUUCACUUAAGGCGCUCAAAAUGAUAAAACAAGGCGCACAUUCGAAACAUACAGGACUUCACACAAAGACGAUUAAAGGCCCAAGUUAACCUCCACAUAUGAACAACGAAUGCAUGCGACAUAUUAGACACUAGAUAGUUUCAGCAGUUAAGCAGCAUUAUACUCGUUAACUCCUAUAGGCAUGGUGCGUGAUUCUGAUUUCCAGCAUUAUACAAGCAGCAGGCAGCUUUAGGCUAACGGAUUUGCAGAUUAAGGCAUUACAAACCUAUAGGAAGAAUAUUUAAAUAUUGCGCUAUGAAGCAAUAAAACAACUUCGAGAACCCAAAAUUAAUAGUUUCUUAUGCGAGUGAUAGUGUCCUAUAGGCAUGAUUCCUAUCAGUUGAUAGUCACAAUUGAUUUUAGAAGAUUUUAUCUGUAUAGGCAUGAUUUCUAUGUAUGAUAAUACAAUGAAGUAACAAAGUAUUUUAUUAAAUAAUUAAGACCAUGUAGUCCUGAUAUCCAAGUGAACAACAUACCAAAACAAUGAAUGUGACUGAUUGAUUAACUGAAACACUACAUACAUGGUAUCUACAUAAGCAUUAGUAAAACGUACAUUAUUAUAUCCUACAUGCAUGUUGUCUAAGUGUGUACAAUAAUAAACAUAAAAAAACAAGUAUGGUGAGUACUAACAUGCUUUGAAUAGUAUAUGAGUGAAUUGUGUAUGAUCCCUAUGGUCAUAAUUUCAAUUAAUGUGUAGAAUAAAAGCACCUAAACAAAUAUCAAACAAGGCAAUUAAACCUUAUAGGCAUUCUUUCUACCCGUUCAUGCGAGUAUUAAGAUCUCCUAGCCCCCCAAUUUUACUAACUCACCUAUCAUUCACUUUACAAAUUAUUACAGCCUAAAUGGAAUAAAUACAUGCCUAAACAUAAAUGUAAAAUAACCCAACGAUGCAUCCGGGCCUUAAAAUAGGCUUUAAAAUUUAGACAGGGCCAUAAUCUCUAGCGCAGACAAUAUGCACAGAACCACAGUACCAAGAACCAGAUUCAGCAGUCCAGGCCCAACAAAAUAAUUUUGUUGCCCAUCCAUUACCACUUACAGACGAUGAAGACACUAAUGGCAAUUUAUGCAAACCAAAAUUAUUUGGGAUGACUCAAGUUCUAAGGAGGAGCGUAUGCAUAUUUUUGCCUUUAGCACCACAACUAACAGGAGCAAGAAUUCUAAACAUCCAGGGGCAAGGCAUACAAUCAAACUUCACAUAGAGACAAAUAGGAUGUAGAAGGUAUGCAAAAUACAUAUAAUGGGAAUAUAUAGGGGUUUUCAAACAAAUUCAAAGAAACAGGCUCCUUAGGAUGCACAAGAUUAAUUAUAGGAAUCUAGCAAAACAAGAAUUUAUAAAGCAAAGAGACCACGUAUGAGAGUUCAAAGCAGACAGGAUCAUGAAUGGAUUCUAAGAGGAUUAACAAGUAGCAAUGACAUGCUCGAGAGGCCGAUACCAACAGUAGUUUCACAAGAAGACCUUAGCAUAAGGGUGCAAGGAAACACUUAACUAAGAAUGGAAGUUCAGUUCAUGACACGAAGAAGUGCUAAUAAGAAGGCUUAUUAAGGAAAUUCAAGGUCAAUAAUAUCACAAACUCAGCACAACAACUACUCAGCAAACAAGUACUUAAUUUUGAGAAUGUAAGUUGAUCACAUAUAGCAUGUUCGAUUAUAUAUAUCAAAAGUUUUCUAGAAAUCAAAAUCAAGCAAACCUAGUAAUAGUAGGCAUGGGUCUGUAGUAAAGCAUGCAACUAUAGUAAGGAUUGAGGUUCUUAAAUUGCAAAGAAACAUGCUUGUUUGAAGAGUUCAUAGCUAACAUAGACAAUAACAACAACAACAACUGCCCAGUAUAGUCUCACACAGUGGGGUCUGAGGAGGGUAAUACGUACACAGGCCUUACCCCUACCCUAAAGGGCAGAGAGGCUGUUUCUAAUCAACCCUCGGCGAAAAAGAAAAAGAAAAAGAAAAGGAAAAAGAAAGACAAAAGAGCCUUAGAGACUCUAGCAGAAAUCGCAUAAAUAAUUAUCUAAACAUAAACCCAUAAAUUAAAUGGCAAGCAAUAAUAUCGACCAGUAACUACCAGAAUGAGGCACAAUACAAUAUGCACUAAAGAGCCCUACCAAACCCCACCUAGCCCCAGGAAUGAAGUACAAAAAUUUCUAGAAGCCCCUAUCCGACAACCCUGAUACUAGACCUCCAGACUUUCCUAUCAAGGGUCAUAUCCUCGAAAGUCUACAUACUUUCCAUAUCCUGCCUACUCACCUCUCCCCAAUACUUCUUAGACCUCCAUCUGCCUCUACUCGAGCCAACCAUCGCCAGCCGCUCACAACUCCUCAUCGAGUCAUAAGUGUUUCUCCUCCGCACAUGCCCGAACCACCUGAGACUCGCUUCCCGCAUCUUUUCAUCCACUUGGGUCAUCCUCACCUUCUCCCGAAUAACUUCAUUCUUAAUCUUAUCUAGUCUGGUGCACCCGCGCAUCCACCUGAGCAUUCUCAUCUCCGCAACCUUCACUCUUUGAACGUGAGAGUUCUUAACCGGCCAACACUCUGCCCCAUACAACAUGGCAGGUUUAACCACAGCUCUAAAAAACUUUCCCUUGAGUUUUCGGUGACACUUUCUCGUCUAUAGCUAACACAGACAUGAUCAUUUUAAAAAAAAAAUGAGCAAGUAGCGAAUUAUGCGUAAAUGACUUAGUGUGGAGAAGUGCAGUCAAAAAAUUUUUGGGCAUGGAUUACUGUCCUAGGAGUUUUAGCACUAGAAUCCAAAGCAAGGCAUGAAUAUGGGAAAGCAACAACCAUAGGAAACUCGUGUAUACAUAAACAUAGUCGACCAAGCAGAUUCAAGAUGAUUAAAAUUUACACAUAUUGAACAGAGGUCCAAGUUCAAGAUUUAAGCAAAUUUAGAUGGUAGAAAAUAUAGGGGCAUAGACUAACUCCAAUACGGAUAGGACUGCAACCAAAAAUAACACCACAUGGAAAUCGUAUUGGUUUACAAAGUUCUCACAACAUAGAUAUUUAGAGAAUGAUCAUAAGUAAAGAGAAUAGAACUGUAGGGAUCAAUGUACUAACCAGUUGCAAAUUAGCCAGUAAGAAAAAUGAGAAAGCUAAAUUCUAGCAGCAACUCAAUUAAUAGUGGUAAGGAGAGAACAACGGGAUUCCAGAAUCUUAGUGCGUCGAAGUUCCAAGGGUUUUAAAUGAACACUGGGUAAUGCUCACACUAAUAAAGGAGUUAUAAUCGAAUUCCGGUAGCCUGGGCUUUCAGCCGGCCAAGGUCUCAAGUCUUAGAACAGUAAAAUGAAUGGGAGUGAGAGAGUAAUAGUAGUAGUAACAAUGGUCGAGCAAUAAUAGUUCCAAUUAUAGGGGACACAGAGAAGGGGUUUAUAUAGCAACAACUUAAGACGAUAAACAAGAAAAACAAUCAAUUAAAUCUAAAGAAGGAAAGAAAAGAUAAAAUGUAAUCCCUAACAUAGCCUAUAAAGAGAUGGAAGAAACUUCAAACCCUUGUUGAAUCUAAUGGCAUUGAAUCUGGCUAGAAAUGCAAGGAUCAUUCAUUAUAGAGUAUAUUUAGAUGAAACAUUGGUAAGAACUUCACAAAAUUAGAGCCAAAUCAGGCCCGUCUUGAAAGGUAACAUUUACCAAAGUUAGGUUGAUAAGUAACGCCAUGAACGCGUGAGUAGUAGCAGAAUAAGGUGAGAGACUCAUGUAGGGAUUCUCUGUUGAGGCCGGAUUUGGAGAGGAUUUAGAGAUACGGCGGCUAGGGUUCGUAAAGAAGAAGAGAGACGUAGAGAGAGUAGAGGCAGCAGAAUUUGUAAAGUGUCUCUAGGGUUGGGUUGAGAGAUACGAGGAGAAGGGGGAGGUUCAUUAUGGGUCGUUGAUCAUUUAACAUCAACAGCCAAGUUUAAAUAGAAA